rnacentral:rRNA from 1 species
UACGGGGGGGGUAAGCGUUGUUCGGAAUUACUGGGCGUAAAGGGCUCGUAGGCGGCCAACUAAGUCAGACGUGAAAUCCCUCAGCUUAACUGGGGAACUGCGUCUGAUACUGGAUGGCUUGGAUUCGGGAGAGGAAUGCGGAAUUCCAGGUGUAGCGGUGAAAUGCGUAGAUAUCUGGAGGAACACCGGUGGCGAAGGCGACGUCCUGGACCGGCAUUGACGCUGAGGCGCGAAAGCCAGGGGAGCAAACGGG